rnacentral:rRNA from 1 species
AUUUCACUACGGGACGCAGCAGUGGGGAAUAUUGCACAAUGGGGGAAACCCUGAUGCAGCGACGCCGCGUGAGUGAAGAAGUAUUUCGGUAUGUAAAGCUCUAUCAGCAGGGAAGAAAAAAGACGGUACCUGACUAAGAAGCCCCGGCUAACUACGUGCCAGCAGCCGCGGUAAUACGUAGGGGGCAAGCGUUAUCCGGAUUUACUGGGUGUAAAGGGAGCGUAGACGGCGCGGCAAGUCU